rnacentral:rRNA from 1 species
UACGUAGGGGGCAAGCGUUGUCCGGAUUUAUUGGGCGUAAAGAGCGUGUAGGCGGCCAGAUAGGUCGGUUGUGAAAACUGGAGGCUUAACCUUCAGACGUCGACCGAAACCAUCUGGCUAGAGUCCGGAAGAGGAGAGUGGAAUUCCUGGUGUAGCGGUGAAAUGCGCAGAUAUCAGGAAGAACACCCGUGGCUAAGGCGGCUCUCUAGUACGGUACUGACGCUGAGACGCGAAAGCGUGGGGAGCGAACAGG